UACUUAGAGUGACAAUUCAAUAUACUUAUGGGAAGUAUAUUUUUUGGAAAUUAAUUGUUAAUUUACUUUUUUAGCAUACUAGGAUCUCACUUCAUUAGAAGUGUGACUUCUGUACACUUUAUACAGUACACUAUAAAAUAAGUGUAUUUUUAGUUGCAUAUCAGAGUACUUUCAUAAAAUACAUGUAGGCUAUACACUGCAUGAAAAGAGCUGUAUCCAGACAAAUACGGAUGGGAAAUCCCUGCUAAACUUUAGGUUUGCCAGAUAAAUGAGGCAGAGUGCUUGGAAACGUAAUACUCAGAAGUAAACUCGUGAAACAUCCAGAAACCUUGUGUAUAUGGAUGUAUACUGGUGGAAGUUUCUAGGAAUCCUCACAGCUGGAUGUGAGGAGUGCUGGUUGUGAGGUGUGAAGGGUUAAUGACAGAGUUGCUGUCUCUGUUUUCAAAGCUGGGUGGGGGGUUCAAGGCAGCACAUAACAUAAAAACAUUAUAUAUCUACAAGUGUGUUUACUAAAUACAUGUAUUAUUAUGCUAAUGUAAUUUAAUUGAUAAAGGUUUUUUUUAUUUAAGAAAAUCUGAGCAUCACUCAAAAUAACUGUCAACAUGUUUGUCAACUAAACAUGUUUUGUAAACGUUAUACAUUUUAUAAAAAUAUUUAAUAUUUUUAUUAUUGAUAAAGUAUAAAGAACAAAUCAGUGUGAAAACGCAGAUUAUAAAAAGUACAUAAAGUGCCAGCAGAGGAUCCAAAAUAAUGAAAAAAAAAAAAAACAUCCAAUGCAACUUGGAAAUUGUAGUCAAAAUACAUCUACAGCAGCAUGCUAAAGCAGUACCAACGCCAGGGCAAAAGACUCAAAUUCCCAGAAUGCACCUGCACCCACCCAUUCAUUCCCACCAAUCAGGAUCAACGGCAUUUUUCAAACCGCUACUGACUCGUUUUCAUGCUAAACAGUACGGCUGAGAGGUCAUGUACCAUGUGGUCGACCUUGCUGACGCUGAAGAGGUUUCUGUGUAAAAAUGAUGACAUUGAGACAAACAGACCAGUUCUGGCUGCCGUGGAGGUCAACACACCACUGAUCUACUGGCUGCCCUUCAACGUGAUGCCCAGCCGAUGCCUGACCACCGACGGAACUAGGGCUGCACGAUAAGUCGCAUGUGUUUGUCAGGCGCAUCUCCUCAAUGCAGUGAGGGAGUGAUUCCCCAACAUCGAGGUGGCAGAGAUCCGGGACCUUCUACGGAGGAAGUGCAACAAUGCCAGUUACAAGGCCUCCAGUAGUUCAAAUCAGAGCUAGAUGUCCAUAUAGUACAAGUUGUUCGCAAUUGUUCUCUUCCCGGCAUUUCAAAGAAAGUCGACUGUUUAAGGUUCCCCAUUUUGCCAAUAUCUGUUUUGUGUGUUACU